GUGCCCGUAGUUCAAUAGGACAGAACAGUCGCGUCCUAAGCGAUCGGUUGGGAGUUCGAGUCUCCCCGGGCACA
rnacentral:tRNA from 1 species